AUAACUAAGCGGAGGAAAAGAAACCAAACGGGAUUCCCUUAGUAACGGCGAGCGAAAAGGGAAGUGUCCAGCGCCAAGUCUUGGCACUCGAGUGUCAAGAGAUGCGGCGUUAAUGCGUUGGCGCAUCGUACAUUGAUAGGCAUUUCAAGUUCGCUUGACAGCGACAUCCAUAGCGGGUGCUAGGCCCAUAGAGAUGCCAGUCUGAUGUACGCCGGCCAAUGCAUUCUAGAGUCAGGUUGCUUGAGAGUGCAGCUUAAAGUCGGUGGUAAACUCCAUCCAAGACUAAAUAUUACAGCGAGACCGAUAGCAAACAAGUACCGUGAGGGAAAGUUGCAAAGCACUUUGAAGAGAGAGUUCAACAGUACGUGAAACCACUGGGAGGCAAACAGAUGGAACCACGAAUGUGCGUCCCGGUCGAUUCAAUCGUCAUUGAUGGUCAACUAGGCUAUUGGGGAGUCUCUUCGGAGAUUACACUAGCCGAGUUAAGAUUAUCCAUGUCGGUGCAUUUCGUACUGGGAACGCGAAGCCACGUUCGACUAGAGUUGGAACGGCCGUAGGAUAGGAUCUGAGAAAGGUGGCCGGCAUGUGCUUGCACCUGCCGGUGUUACAGGCUCGGAUCGGAACCGUUGCCAAACAUACUGGUCGAUAAAAGUUCUCCUUCGGGGGUAAGGCUACCAUUGCCUGUUUCCGAUAGCCAGYAUGUGAUUAUGUUCUUGCUGUGCUUUGUUGUGCGRCAAGACAUUUUGAUAUUGUUGGCUAAAGGGAGCUUGUGUUUGGUGGCAAAACUGUGGUGCGAGUAGGUCGGUGUCCAUCUGACCCGUCUUGAAACACGGACCAAGGAGCCUAUCAUAUACGCGAGUCGCUCGGUCUUGAAUAGGCCCGGGAGGCGAAAUGAAAGUAACUGGCUAUGAGGCUUCGGCUGCAAUAGCGGUACGCCUACUUCGUUUAUUGGCGAUCAGGCGUAACUGGAGCGUAUACGAUGGUACCCGAAAGAUGGUGAACUAUGCCUGGGCAAGACGAAGCCAGAGGAAACUCUGGUGGAGGUCUGUAGCGAUUCUGACGUGCAAAUCGAUCGUCAGACCUGGGUAUAGGGGCGAAAGACUAAUCGAACCAUCUAGUAGCUGGUUCCCUCCGAAGUUUCCCUCAGGAUAGCAGGCGUUCGUUGUCAGUGUCAUCCGGUAAAGCUAAUGAUUAGAGGUCUUGGGGUUGAAACGACCUCAACCUAUUCUCAAACUUUAAAUGGGUGAGAUGGUUGACUUUCUUGAUUGAAGCCAACCGUUGCAUGUGAGUGCCUAGUGGGCCAUUUUUGGUAAGCAGAACUGGCGCUGUGGGAUGAACCAAACGCCGAGAUAAGGAAUCAAAUGCACACGCUCAUCAGACCCCAUGAAAGGUGUUGGUUGCUAUAGACAGCAGGACGGUGGCCAUGGAAGUCGGAAUCCGCUAAGGAGUGUGUAACAACUCACCUGCCGAAGCAACUAGCCCUGAAAAUGGACGAUGCUUUAGCGUGGAUCCGAUACUCGGCCGUGAUGACGAUACUGGAGAGAAUGCGAWGUCAUCACGAGUAGGAGGGCCGCAAUGAUAGCGUGGAAGGUGUCAGACGUGAGUCUGCCUGGAGCUGUCAUUGUUGCAGAUCUUGGUGGUAGUAGCAAAUACUCAAGUGAGAAUCUUGAGGACUAACGUGGAGAAGGGUUCCAUGUGAACAGCAGUUGGACAUGGUUCAGUCGGUCCUAAGGAAGCGGAGAAAUCCGUUGCAACGCUCACUUUAAUCUGUAAGAAGAAAGUUGGGCGAAUUUCCGAAAGGGAAUCAGGUCAAUAUUCCUGAACUGAGACAUGGGGGGUGCACUCUCGGGUGCUAAUGCGGUAACGCAGUCAAAUUCGGAGACAUCGGCAGUAGUCCUGGGAAGAGUUGUCUUUUCUCUAUAAGCCACCGAAUCCAUGAAAACAGCUUGUCUGGAGAUAUGGACGAUGGUGGCGAAGAGCUCAGCGGUUCUUGCUGAGUCCGGUGCGCUACUGUCGGUCCUUGAAAAUCCGAAGGCGAGUUUACCUCCAUGGUCAGCCGUACCAAUAUCCGCAGCAGGUCUCCAAGGUUAACAGCCUCUAGUUUCUAGAAUAAUGUAGGUAAGGGAAGUCGGCAAAACUGAUCCGUAACUUCGGGAUAAGGAUUGGCUCUGAAGGAUGGGCCGUUCGGGCCUUCAUCAGAAACGGAUGAUGCGCCUGGCUGGGACUGUUAUUGGCAACAGUGACGGACCCGAGCUGGCGUCUGUCCGCGGACGGUGAGGGCUACGCCAGGGUGCCCCGUGUGCGCUGGUCGUUUCGGGCGGCAUUCAACAUCCGACUCAGAACUGGCACGGACCCCGGGAAUCCGACUGUCUAAUUAAAACAAAGCAUUGCGAUGGCCGGAAAUCGGUGUUGACGCAAUGUGAUUUCUGCCCAGUGGUAUGAAUGUCAAUGUGAAGAAAUUCACUUAAGCGCUACUAAACGGCGGGAGUAACUAUGACUC
rnacentral:rRNA from 1 species